rnacentral:sRNA from 1 species
CCGAACAGGCCUCGAUUCUUCAGUUCGUGACAUAUAUCAUUUAUGGCAAAGUGUCGUAUGGUAAUGCCUCCGGGGCAUAUGCAUCUUCUGACAGCCAGUCCGGCUGCCUGCCCGGCUGCCUGGCUGCCUGGCGGGCUUUCUGCGUGGGUGGGUGGCACGGACGUCUGACCGAUAUGGCGAAACGUUGUGUGUUUUCGAUGUCAUAUGUUUUCCAGCCAAAGGUUGAGCCCAAAACUUUGAUUAUGCUGUCCGGAACAGACUCCCAGCCAACAGGGAGGAGAGGAGAUACUGAAUCGUCUUGGCAGUUCGUCCACGUGCCACGUUCCUGCUCACGCAUUUUGCCUGUUUGUUUCAUUAAGAGCAUAAUUUGAGCAACUUUCGCCCCAAAAGCCGCAGCAGCAGCAGAAGACCAAGGCGAAGACGAAGGGAAGGAGGCAUAACUUUGGCUAUACUUCAGCUGCAUUGCGUGUAAUAUUUAAUUAUAAGAAGCCACCCAGCGCCAUCCAUCCAUCCAGGCAGGCAGGCAGGCAGUCAGGCAGCAUCCAGGAACCAGGAACCGUCGUCCUGCAAGUUGCAGCGCAACUUUACGGCACUUGCCAAUUGCACUUCAGUGGCAGCCUCCUUCCAUAAACGUCCUGAGAGAGAGAGAGGGCAUAAAAUAUUUAAUUGUGUCACGUAACUUUCUGCCAAACUGACGGCAAGGGUACGGAUAGUACGGGUAAGGGUAUAUACAGUAUGCAUUACAAUUCGGCUGUUGUGGGAGUGGCAUGGGAAAUGAGAUUACAAAUGUCAAGUGUUGCACGAAAUGUAUAUUCCCAUCGAAUCAGCAUCGCUGCUCCAUUUACCAUAUGAAAUAUACAGCUUUAUUCAUUUCACUUUUCUCCUCUUCGAAUACAAUGAUGUAAUUUAAUUAGUUGUUACGUUCAUAUACAAAAAAAAAUAUAUAUAUCUCGAUUUGUAUGAGAGAAAAAUGUGUAUAAGUGAAAUUCACUCAUUGCUACAUUUUUC